CUCAAGGACAGAAAGAACACCGUGUGCAAAUUUGUCAGCUCCUACUGAACAUGGGAAAAUUUACCCCUGCCUUCCACAGCCUUCUUGGUAACCUUUCAAUUACUAUGACAAUUGUAAACAAACAACUUGAAACAAAUGGUCAAAUCAACAAGACCAGGUUCAUGACCUCUACAGAACUGCAGCAGCUCCCUCUGUUCUGAAAACCACAUGGGGGAAGAUGUUUAAGCUAACUUCAGUGAGAAUGUUCUCUGCUCUUGAGAAAGUCUGUUCUGGAGAAGAUUCAUAUUGGCUUUCAAGACAUUUACAGUGAGUUUUUGGCUGAAAUGACUAAUGUUGAAGUCACGUAAGGAAUGAAUUGUGGAAAGCCUUAUGUUGCUGAUACCUCUGCAAACAUAGUUUUCACAGGUAUGGAGUUACAACACAACCUCAUCGGACUGGAGUGGAAGGAGAAUACGAUGCAUAUCUGCAGGAAGAUGGCAUAAAAGUUUUAAAUUUCCACAACAAUCAGCUCUUAAAAACUUCCUGAAAACUUUGAAGGAAUAUCAGUAUACUGUAGCGCCCUCCUACAAUUCAUGCGGCAGUCCUUCCUGGAUGGAAACAAUUCCUUACUUCCAGGAACUAUGAUUCUGCUUGAACAAAAUUGCUUUUAGUGAAUGAUAGAUGUGAAUCUCCAACUCCUCCUUCAAGCACCUGACAGACAGAACUGCAUAUCAAACCAAGUUAAGCUGAUGAUUUAAACAUUUUGCCUAUCUGGAACUUUAAUUAUCUCAUCAUCUCCUUAUGUUUCAUUAUUAUGAAGCUGCAAGAAAUGACAACAACUAGAGAAGAGUGGCUAUAUAAACCAAAUACAACUUCAAGAACCAAAUUUAAAUGGAUGUAUUAUAUAUCCUAACACUGAAACAAAGCCAGACUAUUUUUUUAUGGCACUGAUUAUAAAUUAAAGUAGACUGAAAAUUUCAGGAGUCAGAUAACCUUUUUCCAUAUGCUUAAGUAAGGGUGUUUACUCCAAAACCAAAGUUUGUAUCCAAAAUUUAAAUGAUGCCACUGGCAUUCAGUAUGAAUUGAGCUGGAGUAGGUUUCAACACAGAAGGAGGAUUUGAAAAGCAGUCAUUUUAUUUUCCUUUCUCUUUUCUUCAUUCUUUAUGAAUUCAGCCAAGAUGUAUUGUAUGUAUCUUUUUCAGUGGCACCCUUUGUUUUGUGGAAAACAGUGAUUUUAGAAAUAUACAAAAAAUAAAUACGUUUAAAAGUUCAGAAAGACAGUUAGUGAUGAUAUUUCUGGCAUGGAGGGAGAAACAAUAUUUUUGUAUCAGACUGCAGUGAAUUAGAGUAAUUAACAUUUUGAGUAAUCUGAUUAUCUUUAUAACUGUACUGAUUCUCAUUAAGAAACAAAAACUAUUCCUGCUUCAAUAUUCUCUACUUCUUGUAUGCUAAGUGAAAAUAAUUUCAUGGGGAGAGACACAGUUCACAUUAAUAUAAAUGUCAGAAACGGUUUAAGUGUUCUGUGCCCUUAAAAUCCUGCAGAAAGUCUUUAGAAGGUUAAAAACAAACAAACCAACCAAAAACCCCUACUGCUACCUAAAUUGUAUGAUAUGGUGAUUUAGUCCUGAUGUACCAAACUCUGCAAAAGUUAUAUAAGAAAACUCACAGUGAAUUUCCAGAAGAUGCCCAAGCAACAAAUAUCCUUCCCCAAGAAUGCAAAAUUGGACCCUUGAGUUUUAAAAAAUCUCUUUGCUUUAGGUUUCUAACAAGAGUAUUCAAAGAGUCAAUGACGGCAUUAAUUUCAUUUUCCAUCCUGAGUUCAGAUUUUAGAUGCUUUUAUGUCU
ensembl:lncRNA